rnacentral:rRNA from 1 species
GUGUCAGCAGCCGCGGUAAGACGAACCGUGCGAACGUUGUUCGGAAUCACUGGGCUUAAAGGGCGCGUAGGCGGGCAUUCAAGUCCGGGGUGAAAGCCUCCCGCCCAACGGGAGAAGCGCCUCGGAGACUGGGUGCCUCGAGGAGGGUAGGGGCAAGCGGAACUCUGGGUGGAGCGGUGAAAUGCAUUGAUAUCCAGAGGAACUCCGGUGGCGAAGGCGGCUUGCUGGACCCUUUCUGACGCUGAGGCGCGAAAGCCAGGGGAGCGAACGGGAUUAGAUACCCCUGUAGUCC